rnacentral:rRNA from 15 species
AACUCUAAGCGGUGGAUCACUCGGCUCAUGGGUCGAUGAAGAACGCAGCAAACUGUGCGUCAUCGUGUGAACUGCAGGACACAUGAACAUCGACAUUUUGAACGCAUAUCGCAGUCCAUGCUG